rnacentral:sRNA from 12 species
UCGAUGAAACUGAACCUUUUCGAUGGGAUGCCAUUGAAAACGAACCGGCUAAUCUUCUGUAAUGCUAUUAUGAGGAUUGCCCUUUGAGGCUGAUAGCAAUAGGUCGCCCUAUGGUCGGUUACAUGCUUUUGUUGA